rnacentral:rRNA from 1 species
GAGUUUGAUCCUGGCUCAGGAUGAACGCUAGCGGCAGGCCUAAUACAUGCAAGUCGAGGGGCAGCACGGUAGCAAUACUGGUGGCGACCGGCGCACGGGUGCGUAACACGUAUACAAUCUGCCUUUAACAGGGGGAUAGCCCGGAGAAAUCCGGAUUAAUACCCCAUAACAAUGAGAAUGGCAUCAUUCUUAUUUAAAAGUUCCGACGGUUAAAGAUGAGUAUGCGUCUGAUUAGCUAGUUGGUAGUGUAACGGACUACCAAGGCGACGAUCAGUAGGGGAUCUGAGAGGAGUACCCCCCACACGGAUACUGAGACACGGAUCCGACUCCUACGGGAGGCAGCAGUAAGGAAUAUUGGACAAUGCCCGCAAGGGUGAUCCAGCCAUGCCGCGUGCAGGAAGACGGCCCUAUGGGUUGUAAACUGCUUUUGUACCGGAGAAAACCUCCCCUCGUGAGGGGAGCUGAUAGUAUGGUAAGAAUAAGCAUCGGCUAACUUCGUGCCAG